GUGGAUCCGAGAACUUUGGAAUCACAACGGAGGUUACAAAAUAUUUAUGUAAACGUUAUGCUCAAACUAUUAAGGAGUGGUGGUUACUUUGGAAAAAGAAUAUCAGAUAGUGGUUACUUUCAAAAAUUAAAAAGGCAUUGCAGUUAUCAUAUAAAAAAGUAUAUAUUGUUGAAAUAAUUGUUGGACUCUAUUUUUAUUAAUGGGUGAUACUGUUGUUUUAAUAGAAUAGACUAGAUUUCCACCCGCACAACCGUGCGGGUAUAUAUUUUCACAUUUAUAUAUGUAGACAUUUGUUUUACAUAAUUAUUAUAUAUUUUUAAUGUUACUCACAUAUUUAAAUGUUUGUAUAAUUAUGCCAAAUAUAAUAAUUUUAUAGUUUUCAUGCUGUAAAUUAAACUCAUCACAUAUAUAUAUAUAUGUUGCUUAUUAUAUAUUUGUCUUAUUGAAUUUG
rnacentral:lncRNA from 1 species